rnacentral:rRNA from 1 species
GAUAAACGCUAGCGGCAGGCUUAACACAUGCAAGUCGAGGGGCAGCAUAGAUUGUAGCAAUACAAUUGGUGGCGACCGGCGCACGGGUGCGUAACGCGUAUGCAACCUACCCGUCACAGGGGGAUAAUCCGGAGAAAUCUGGUCUAAUACCCCAUAACAUAUGGAUCGGCAUCGGUUCAUGUUGAAAUUUUCGGAGGUGACGGAUGGGCAUGCGUAGCACUAGCUUGUUGGUGAGGUAACGGCUCACCAAGGCGACGAUGCUUAGGGGGACUGAGAGGUUUUCCCCCCACACUGGUACUGAGACACGGACCAGACUCCUACGGGAGGCAGCAGUGAGGAAUACUGGUCAAUGGGCGCAAGCCUGAACCAGCCAUGCCGCGUGCAGGAUGACGGCUCUAUGAGUUGUAAACUGCUUUUGUACGAGGGUAAAGUGGGUUACGUGUAACCUUUUGAAAGUAUCGUACGAAUAAGGAUCGGCUAACUCCGUGCCAGCAGCCGCCGUAA